rnacentral:rRNA from 1 species
GACGAACGUGGCGGCGUUGCUUAACACAUGCAAGUCGAACGUGAUUUUCAUAGAAGUUCCUUCGGGAGUGGAAAUGAAAUGAAAGUGGCGAACGGGUGAGUAACACGUGAGCAACCUACCUUACACAGGGGGAUAGCCGUUGGAAACGACGAUUAAUACCGCAUGAGACCACAGAAUCGCAUGAUAUAGGGGUCAAAGAUUUAUCGGUGUAAGAAGGGCUCGCGUCUGAUUAGCUAGUUGGAAGGGUAAAGGCCUACCAAGGCGACGAUCAGUAGCCGGUCUGAGAGGAUGAACGGCCACAUUGGAACUGAGACACGGUCCAAACUCCUACGGGAGGCAGCAGUGGGGAAUAUUGCACAAUGGGGGGAACCCUGAUGCAGCGACGCCGCGUGAGCGAAGAAGGUUUUCGGGAUCGUAAAGCUCUGUCUU